GGGUGGGAGAGGACUCCUGACUGGGGGGCCAGAGUCAUGAGAACCCUCUCUCCCUUGGUGACUGCCAAGUUAUCCAACGACUCUGAGACUCAGUUUCUUCCUCUAUAAAAUGGUAGAGACUCAGCCCCAUCAUCUGAAAGGCCCAUAAGGAAUCCAAUUUUGGGAUGGUGUAUAUGGGAUUCCUACCAAGUAGCUGGAAGAUGACUAUAGAAGGAGAGGCCUCCUGCAGGAAGUUGCGGUUGAGCUGAGUGCUAAAAGAAACCAGGGAAGUCAAGAAUCAGAGGUGGGAAGAGCUGAGGAAGGCAGAGGAAGGAGAGGGACAUCCAAUGGGCAGUUCUAGGAGGCACUGGAAACUCUCAAGAAUGAAUUUCUGAAGACACAGAGAGAAACAUUUUGAUAAGGAAGAAAUAAAUUGUCUAAAGAGA